rnacentral:rRNA from 1 species
GACGAACGCUGGCGGCGUGCUUAACACAUGCAAGUCGAACGGUAAGGCCCUUCGGGGUACACGAGUGGCGAACGGGUGAGUAACACGUGGGUGAUCUGCCCUGCACUUCGGGCUAAGCCUGGGAAACUGGGUCUAAUACCGGAUAGCACCAUGCGCUUCACGGUGUGUGGUGGAAAGCUUUUGCGGUGUGGGAUGGGCCCGCGGCCUAUGAGCGUGUUGGUGGGGUGAUGGCCCACCAAGGCGACGACGGGUAGCCGGCCGGAGCGGCUGAGCGGCCACACUGGGAGUGGGAUACGGCCCAGACCCCUACGGGAGGCAGCAGUGGGGAAUAUUGCACAAUGGGCGCAAGCCUGAUGCAGCGACGCCGCGUGAGGGAUGACGGCCUUCGGGUUGUAAACCUCUUUCAGUAGGGACGAAGCGCAAGUGACGGUACCUACAGAAGAAGGACCGGCCAACUACGUGCCAGCCGCCGCCGUAA